AACGUAGGACGCAAGCGUUAUCCGGAAUUACUGGGCGUAAAGCGCGUGUAGGUGGUUGCAUAAGUCACUGUUGAAAGCUCCCGGCUAAACUGGGAGAGGUGCGGUGAGACUGUGUGGCUAGAGUGUGGAAGAGGGGUGCAGAAUUCCGGGUGUAGUGGUGAAAUGCGUAGAGAUCCGGAGGAACACCAGAGGCGAAGGCGGAUCGCUGGGCCAACACUGACGCUGAUGUGCGAAAGCUAGGGGAGCAAACGGG
rnacentral:rRNA from 1 species